GAUGAACGCUGGCUACAGGCUUAACACAUGCAAGUCGAGGGGAAACGACGGGGAAGCUUGCUUCCCCGGGCGUCGACCGGCGCACGGGUGAGUAACGCGUAUCCAACCUGCCUCUGACUGAGGGAUAACCCGUCGAAAGUCGGCCUAAUACCCCAUGGUAUCGUCUGCGGGCAUCCAACGACGAUUAAAGAUUUCAUCGGUCAGGGAUGGGGAUGCGUCUGAUUAGCUUGUUGGCGGGGUAACGGCCCACCAAGGCUACGAUCAGUAGGGGUUCUGAGAGGAAGGUCCCCCACAUUGGAACUGAGACACGGUCCAAACUCCUACGGGAGGCAGCAGUGAGGAAUAUUAGUCAAUGGGCGAGAGCCUGAACCAGCCAAGUAGCGUGCAGGAAGACGGCCCUAUGGGUUGUAAACUGCUUUUAUGCGGGGAUAAAGUGAGGGACGUGUCCCUCAUUGCAGGUACCGCAUGAAUAAGGACCGGCUAAUUCCGUG
rnacentral:rRNA from 1 species